rnacentral:rRNA from 1 species
UACGUAGGGUGCAAGCGUUGUCCGGAAUUAUUGGGCGUAAAGAGCUCGUAGGCGGUUUGUCGCGUCUGCUGUGAAAAUCCAGGGCUUAACCCUGGACCUGCAGUGGGUACGGGCAGACUAGAGUGCGGUAGGGGAGAUCGGAAUUCCUGGUGUAGCGGUGAAAUGCGCAGAUAUCAGGAGGAACACCGGUGGCGAAGGCGGAUCUCUGGGCCAGUACUGACACUGAGGAGCGAAAGCGUGGGUAGCAAACAGG